GAUGAACGCUGGCGGCGUGCCUAAUACAUGCAAGUCGAGCGAACAGACGAGGAGCUUGCUCCUCUGACGUUAGCGGCGGACGGGUGAGUAACACGUGGAGAACCUACCUAUAAGACUGGGAUAACUUCGGGAAACCGGAGCUAAUACCGGAUACUAUAUUGAACCGCAUGGUUCAAUAGUGAAAGACGGUUUUGCUGUACCUUAUAGAUGGAUCCGCGCCGCAUUAGCUAGUUGGUACGGUAACGGCUUACGAAGGCAACCAUGCGUAGCCGACCUGAGAGGGUGAUCGGCGACACUGGGACUGAGACGCGACCCUGAGACCUACGGGAGGCCGCAGCAGGGAAGCUUGCGCAAUGGGCGAAAGCUUGACGGAGCAGCGCAGCGUGGGUGAUGAAGGUCUUCGGAUCGGAAAACGCUGUUAUUAGGGAAGAACAAAUGUGUAAGGAGCUAUGCUCGUCUUGACGGUACCUAAUCAGAAAGCCACGGCUAACUACGUG
rnacentral:rRNA from 1 species